ensembl:lncRNA
UUGACUUUUCACACUUACAGGACAUUUAGAGAUGGCCCACAGCUCCUUGGGACUUAGUUGAACUUGGAGGACAAGGGGGAGAAUAUUUCUCCUUUAGUUCCUGAGGACUAGAAAAGGAAAAUCUACAGUUGCCAAGACAGGGAGAGCCAGGUGGUCUCCAGGCUGUCAUCCACAAGUCACCUGACUCUUUAUCCUGCUCAUCACAGAAUGAAGUCUACCCAGUUAGGUUCAUGUACUCCUGGGACCUGUAGUCAAGCAUGGAAUACUGUUCUUAUAGUUCUAUUUUAUGGGGAAAUUUGGCCCAGAGGAAAAUAGAGAUAUUGUCUGAGUCUACUGGGCAAGAUCUGAUUCUGAAUCCCUUAAUGUUGGAAGUGAUGCCCUUGAAACCCUCCAUUAUUGGUGUUACUAUUAUGGUUAGCAUUAAGUAUGACUGAGUUCAUGGGAAAUCCCCAGCCAGCUGCAGAAGACUAAUACAAAUGUGGUGGUCAAGAUGAAUAAUGAUAUGAUAAAGCUCUGACCUUGCUGAGAAAUACAUCUGAUGUCAAGAUGCCCAAUGUGAUGACUGGAACAUUUCUGAAAAACCAACAUCCUGCUGACUAAUAGAUAUGACAAACCUGUAACAUUUCUGACAUCCUGUUGACAUCAUCUGACCACACCAAUACUGUGUCCUUGGCCUGUGUAAAUG